UACAGAGGUGGCAAGCGUUGUUCGGAAUUAUUGGGCGUAAAGAGCUCGUAGGCGGUCUGUUACGUCCGCUGUGAAAACCCAGGGCUUAACCCUGGGCUUGCAGUGGAUACGGGUAGACUAGAGGCAGGUAGGGGAGAAUGGAAUUCCCGGUGUAGCGGUGAAAUGCGCAGAUAUCGGGAGGAACACCGGUGGCGAAGGCGGCAUCCUGGACCGACAUUGACGCUGAUGAGCGAAAAGCUAGGGGAGCAAACGGGG
rnacentral:rRNA from 1 species